rnacentral:rRNA from 1 species
UUAAUUCACUUUCUAAUCUAUUUGCUAACUAAUUCAAACAACAAAAGCAAGCUGUUGCUAUCUGAACGUCAACAAGAGACCAGACGGAACUGCCCUAAAGGUAUUCGUUGCAAACCUCAAUCCCAAUCGCCACAUUCCGCUAAGGGUUAUAACACUCCCGAAGGAGCCACAUCCCCUCGACCUUUUUACGACAAUCGAAAUUGAUGCUGACCAGCAGACACCAAAAUACACGGCUAUGUCGAUUCUUAACACUUUCGUGUCAAGCACCUCCAUAGCCGUUGAGUUAGUG